rnacentral:rRNA from 1 species
CCUACGGGAGGCAGCAGUGGGGAAUAUUGCACAAUGGGCGCAAGCCUGAUGCAGCCAUGCCGCGUGUGUGAAGAAGGCCUUCGGGCUGUAAAGCACUUUCAGUUGUGAGGAAGGUUCAUGCGUUAAUAGCGCAUGGAUUUGACGUUAGCAACAGAAGAAGCACCGGCUAACUCCGUGCCAGCAGCCGCGGUAAU